rnacentral:rRNA from 1 species
UGGCUCAGAACGAACGCUGGCGGCGCGCCUAAUACAUGCAAGUCGAGCGAGAAGACGUAGCAAUACGUUUGUAAAGCGGCGAACGGGUGAGGAAUACAUGGGUAACCUACCCUCGAGUGGGGAAUAACUAGCCGAAAGGUUAGCUAAUACCGCGUACGCUUCUUGGACUUCGGUUCAGGGAGGAAAGCGAUACCGUGGGUAUCGCGCUCUUGGAUGGGCUCAUGUCCUAUCAGCUUGUUGGUGAGGUAACGGCUCACCAAGGCUUCGACGGGUAGCUGGUCUGAGAGGACGAUCAGCCACACUGGCACUGCGACACGGGCCAGACUCCUACGGGAGGCAGCAGUAAGGAAUAUUGCGCAAUGGGCGAAAGCCUGACGCAGCGACGCCGCGUGGGGGAUGAAGGUCUUCGGAUUGUAAACCCCUUUCGGGAGGGAAGAUGGAACGAGCAAUCGUUCGGACGGUACCUCCAGAAGCAGCCACGGCUAACUUCGUGCCAGCAGCCGCGGUAAUACGAAGGUGGCAAGCGUUGUUCGGAUUUACUGGGCGUACAGGGAGCGUAGGCGGUUCGGUAAGCCCUCUGUGAAAUCUCCAGGCUUAACCUGGAACAGUCGGAGGGGACUGCCGGGCUAGAGGACGGGAGAGGAGCGCGGAAUUCCCGGUGUAGCGGUGAAAUGCGUAUAGAUCGGGAGGAAGGCCGGUGGCGAAGGCGGCGCUCUGGAACGUUUCUGACGCUGAGGCUCGAAAGCGUGGGGAGCAAACAGGGUUAGAUACCCUGGUAGUCCACGCCUUAAACUAUGAAUACUAAGUGUCGGCGGGUUACCGCCGGUGCCGCAGCUAACGCAUUAACGUAUUCCCGCCUGGGAAGUACGGGCCGCAUCGUUCGACACUCAGAAGGACUUGACGGGGGGCC